rnacentral:rRNA from 1 species
CAGACCUCUAAUCGGAAAACACUAACCCGCUGAGUU